UACGAAGGGGGCUAGCGUUGCUCGGAAUCACUGGGCGUAAAGCGCACGUAGGCGGCUUUUUAAGUCAGGGGUGAAAUCCUGGAGCUCAACUCCAGAACUGCCUUUGAUACUGAGAGCUUGAGUCGGGAGAGGUGAGUGGAAUUCCGAGUGUAGAGGUGAAAUUCGUAGAUAUUCGGAAGAACACCAGGUGGCGAAGGCGGCUCACUGGACCGGUAUUGACGCUGAGGUGCGAAAGCGGUGGGGAGCAAACAGGG
rnacentral:rRNA from 1 species